rnacentral:lncRNA from 1 species
CGGCAGGUUUUUACUGAGUCAUCAACAUUAGUAAACAGACUGCAUAUGGCUUCAGAUCAUUACAAACUUCUCGAGGAAGAAACACGAACACCGAGGUAAGCCGCAGGCCUCUUGUUUCCUCUUCGUUCACCAGAAUUUAUUCUCGCGGCUGAUACAGAAAAUGCUUACUUGGCAACUCGAUAACUAGGCAACUCAAGAACAUUUCUCCGAGUUCAUGGCAUGGAUCUCGGUAUUCAAUAGGCUAACCCGCAGCUUCAUGAGUUGCUCCCGAAAUUCAAGUGCCUGAUCUGCUGAGGCGGAGAUUUCCACGAGUCCAAGAUGCUCCGUAGCCCUG